rnacentral:rRNA from 1 species
CAUGCAAGUCGAGCGCCCCGCAAGGGGAGCGGCAGACGGGUGAGUAACGCGUGGGAAUCUACCCAUCUCUACGGAACAACUCCGGGAAACUGGAGCUAAUACCGUAUACGUCCUUCGGGAGAAAGAUUUAUCGGAGAUGGAUGAGCCCGCGUUGGAUUAGCUAGUUGGUGGGGUAAUGGCCUACCAAGGCGACGAUCCAUAGCUGGUCUGAGAGGAUGAUCAGCCACACUGGGACUGAGACACGGCCCAGACUCCUACGGGAGGCAGCAGUGGGGAAUAUUGGACAAUGGGCGAAAGCCUGAUCCAGCCAUGCCGCGUGAGUGAUGAAGGCCCUAGGGUUGUAAAGCUCUUUCAACGGUGAAGAUAAUGACGGUAACCGUAGAAGAAGCCCCGGCUAACUUCGUGCCAGCAGCCGCGGUAAUACGAAGGGGGCUAGCGUUGUUCGGAAUUACUGGGCGUAAAGCGCACGUAGGCGGAUUGUUAAGUGAGGGGUGAAAUCCCAGGGCUCAACCCUGGAACUGCCUCUCAUACUGGCAAUCUCGAGUUCGAGAGAGGUGAGUGGAAUUCCGAGUGUAGAGGUGAAAUUCGUAGAUAUUCGGAGGAACACCAGUGGCGAAGGCGGCUCACUGGCUCGAUACUGACGCUGA